AUGCUGUGAUGAUGGUUUCACAUCCAGCUGAGUUUCAGAGAUGACCCUUUCUCUUCAGCUGUCUGAGCAU